rnacentral:rRNA from 1 species
AACGAACGCUGGCGGCAGGCCUAACACAUGCAAGUCGAACGCUGUAGCAAUACAGAGUGGCGGACGGGUGAGUAACACGUGGGAACGUGCCUUUUGGUUCGGAACAACUCAGGGAAACUUGAGCUAAUACCGGAUAAGCCCUUCGGGGGAAAGAUUUAUCGCCAUUAGAGCGGCCCGCGUAGGAUUAGCUAGUUGGUGGGGUAAAGGCCCACCAAGGCUACGAUCCUUAGCUGGUCUGAGAGGAUGAUCAGCCACAUUGGGACUGAGACACGGCCCAAACUCCUACGGGAGGCAGCAGUGGGGAAUCUUGCGCAAUGGGCGAAAGCCUGACGCAGCCAUGCCGCGUGAACGAUGAAGGUCUUAGGAUUGUAAAAUUCUUUCACCGGGGACGAUAAUGACGGUACCCGGAGAAGAAGCCCCGGCUAACUUCGUGCCAGCAGCCGCAGUAAGAC